rnacentral:rRNA from 1 species
CAAGUCGAACGCCAUGGUUUCGGCCAUGGAGUGGCGCACGGGUGAGUAACGCGUGGGAACCUGCCCAGCAGUAUGGGACAACCGCGGGAAACUGCGGCUAAUACCGUAUACGCCCCUGCAAGGGGGGAAAGAUUGAUCGCUGUUGGAGGGGCCCGCGUCGGAUUAGGUAGUCGGUGGGGUAAUGGCCUACCAAGCCUGCGAUCCGUAGCUGGUCUGAGAGGAUGAUCAGCCACACUGGGACUGAGACACGGCCCAGACUCCUACGGGAGGCAGCAGUGGGGAAUAUUGGACAAUGGGCGCAAGCCUGAUCCAGCAAUGCCGCGUGAGUGAUGAAGGCCUUAGGGUUGUAAAGCUCUUUCACACGCGACGAUGAUGACGGUAGCGUGAGAAGAAGCCCCGGCUAACUCCGUGCCAGCAGCCGCGGUAAUACGGAGGGGGCAAGCGUUGUUCGGAAUUACUGGGCGUAAAGGGCGCGCAGGCGGCUGCUCAAGUCAGGCGUGAAAGGCCUGGGCUCAACCCGGGAAUUGCGCUUGAGACUGGGCUGGCUUGAGUGCGGGAGAGGAUGGUGGAAUUCCCAGUGUAGAGGUGAAAUUCGUAGAUAUUGGGAAGAACACCGGUGGCGAAGGCGGCCAUCUGGACCGCAACUGACGCUGAGGCGCGAAAGCGUGGAGAGCAAACAGGAUUAGAUACCCUGGUAGUCCACGCCGUAAACGAUGAGUGCUAGACGUUGGGAGGCCUAGCCUUCCGGUGUCGCAGCUAACGCAUUAAGCACUCCGCCUGGGGAGUACGGCCGCAAGGUUAAAACUCAAAGGAAUUGACGGGGGCCC